CAAAACAUCCACUUAGUGAGAAUCGAGCCACCGGAUAGCAAUAAAACCCUAGGUUAAACCACCAGAAACCCUAGAAGCCGAUAGGUUACCCAAAAAUUACCCAAAAAUCAUUAGAAAAUCUCCCAGAACGUUCGAGUGAAGAAAAUACACUCAGAUAUCACGAUAAAAAACUCAGAAAGGCGUCCGAUUUAGAUCGGAAUCGUCAUCGACCACAAGGUCUCAGAAACACCCCCAAAAAUCUCAAAAGAGACUUCAACCAAGCUUAGAUCAGAAUCGUCAUCGACCACAAGGUCUCAGAAACACCCCCAAAAAUCUCAAAAGAGACUUCAACCAAGACGACGAGAUACAGAAAAACAUAGUCGGAUCAUUGUCGAGGCUCUGAUACCAUGUAAACAUUGAGAUUAAACCGAAAAAUUAUGGAGAAUGUAGAGAGAGAAUCUAGAGAGAAGGAGGAGCGUCUGAGAGAAGUCUCUGGAAACCAGAGAAUAUUAUUAAACAGAAAAGAAGAUGAAAU
rnacentral:lncRNA from 1 species